UAAUACUAAAUGUAUAAUAAUAUCUGAGACUUGUAUACCUUCCACAGCUGUGCAACGUGGCUGUUUUUUAAACAUAUGAAAGUACAGUUCAGCCUGAAGGCUUCUCCAGGUGAGAUCACCAUGUCUCCAGAGUAUGUAGAGGUCCUGCCAGAGCUUCCACUUCCUCUGCUCUCACAAACAGGCUCCACAUCUGUCCCAACGACUACAGUUUACAUGAAGCUCACCUUCAGCUUCAGUCCAGCACAGCAAACUCACCACCAGAACCAACAGCUCUGCUUGCAUCCUGCCUGUGUGUCUGUCACCUGCCUCUCACUGCCAGCAUCUGGACA